UACGUAGGGUGCAAGCGUUAAUCGGAAUUACUGGGUGUAAAGCGUGCGCAGGCGGUUUUGUAAGUCUGUCGUGAAAUCCCCGGGCUCAACCUGGGAAUUGCGAUGGAGACUGCAAGGCUAGAAUCUGGCAGAGGGGGGUAGAAUUCCACGUGUAGCAGUGAAAUGCGUAGAGAUGUGGAGGAACACCGAUGGCGAAGGCAACCCCCUGGGUCAAGAUUGACGCUCAUGCACGAAAGCGUGGGGAGCAAACAGG
rnacentral:rRNA from 1 species